UACAGAGGUCUCAAGCGUUGUUCGGAUUCAUUGGGCGUAAAGGGUGCGUAGGUGGCGCGGUAAGUCGGGUGUGAAAUUUCGGAGCUUAACUCCGAAACUGCAUUCGAUACUGCGGUGCUUGAGGACUGGAGAGGAGACUGGAAUUUACGGUGUAGCAGUGAAAUGCGUAGAUAUCGUAAGGAAGACCAGUGGCGAAGGCGGGUCUCUGGACAGUUCCUGACACUGAGGCACGAAGGCCAGGGGAGCAAACGGG
rnacentral:rRNA from 1 species